rnacentral:lncRNA from 1 species
AAAGCAUUUUAUAAUACACAGGACAGCCAGCCCCUCACCCCAACCCAACAAUGAUUUUACGCCAAAAUGUCAAUAGUUCUGAGGUUGAGAACCUUGUUCUCGAUUAUGAAUUUUCCACCUAUUGAGAGCUAAUAUGUAAGGAGAAAUGCUACUGGUAUGAGUGCACUGAGCUUGGGCCCCAGAGUUAGGAACAUUUGAGAUUUGGCACUCUGUCUUGUAGCUAUAACACCAAACCCUGUGAUUUUGCCCUGUUCUUGUAAAUGAUAGUCUUGAUUAUUUGCUGAAAAAAAUCCAUCCCAAUUAGUCCCUUCAUUUGCUGUGUGACCUUGGGUAAAUCACUUAAGCUCUCUGGGCCUCAAUUUCCGCACAUAAAAUGCAACGGUUGCAAGAAUUGAUCUCCGAGGUAUUUUUCAAUUUUCACAUUCUAUGCCCAUAAAAGUAUAGGAAGCACAUGAAUACGGCCCUUCCUGUCCUCCAGAUGGUUAUGAUCCAAGCUCCCUGGUCUGCCACGCCUUCAAAUCAGGGUGACCUUGCCUCUUCCUUCUCCCAUGACCCGAUCAAUUUCUGGGCCCAUUUUUAUAAAAAAAAAAAAAUGAUACACUCCUCAGGCCCUGGGGUUUCAAAUAGCUCCUGGUUAAGUUAGGACUCAAUAAAUAUUUCAGAGUUAAACCCAAAAUAGCAACCUGGCUCCUCCCUCGUAUUAAACAGAUUGAAGACUUCUCCACAGUGGGAAGUGGUGGGAAAAGAAUAUCUCGGCAAUUGAAGACAUAUGUGGAUAGGGCGGUUUUAGCCUCUGGCUGUAUCAAAGAGACAGACUCCUAAAGUGCAUUCACGGAUGACCUGCCGAUAUCAGCACUUUGGUCCAGAUAAAUGGAGUCAGCGGUAAAGGACACGUAUGUUUGCAUUUGGAGAAGAGCCUGCAGCUUCCCAGUUCCCAGUUAUGACUGUGUCUACAUAAGCAUGUUAAUAAAUCACAACUCAGUACUAAGCACCGUCUUCACACGUUUAAUAAUCCUCUCUGACUUGAAUCCAAGUCUCAGCCUGGAAACCGUUGGUUGAAACUGGCCCCUUCUGUGAAAGAUAAAGUUGGUGAAAUAGAAAUAUCCUUCUGAGAAGUUAAUGGGCUUCUCGUUUACAACCAGCCACUGGAGACAUUAAUACAGACAGACCCACAAAAGCCAAAACCUCAUCCGUAGAAAUAUGUGCACCUAUUUUUGAAUUUGCUCAUCGUUGGUUAGUCCUGGCCCUUAAUAGUGAGCAAGGUGGGCAGAGAAGUACUGAGCCAGGAACUAGGAGAAGAGGGUUUGGAAAGGACCCGCUUGGGCCUGUUCCCAUGGGCCGUUGCCCAUCCAGGAGCCCAUUCUCCUGCCCAUCAGAUUAUUCUGGGCUGCUUUCCCCAAACCUGGCCCAUUGUGCAGAACUCCAAGGCAAAGCUGGCACUUGGAAACCCCAGUUUCAUGAAUGUCUCGGUUACAGAUUUCUGGUCUUAAUUACAGGGUUGGAGAAGUGAUGUGUGUUUUCUAAGAUUAGCUUUUAUACCAGCUACUGUAACUGGCUAAACUCUUGCUCUUGCAGAAGCAGCCUAGCAGCCAGAGGGAAAUGACUUUCUGCGAUGGGGCAAAGAGUCAUCAGCGUGCUUGGGGGAAGCCUUUUCCAGAAACCCCUUUUUACUGUGUGGUUUAUGUGUGCUGGCUGAGGAUUUCUGACUUGGAAAGGAAAAAAGGCUAGCCCUGGCAUGUUCUCCAGGCCCUCACAGAUGAGCAGCAGCAAAAACACGUGAGUGCUUCUUUUAACGUCUUGGCUUGUAUCAGGUCUGCCCAAUGUUCAAAGCCAGUCACAAACUGAGAAUGAAGGAGUGGGGAAAUAUAUGCCCCUUUUGGUCAGCAGAACUGCCUAGUCCCAUGGCAAAGGCUGAGAAUGCUGAGAGGGGUGAAGGAUCGGAGCCUUUCGUGUGGUAAGUCUAUCCCUAUGCUGGUUGAUGAUACGGUCAGCAUCAUCUUUUUUAUUAGUAGCAAAGGCAAUUAUAUGUAUCUAUGGCGAUUUAAAUAUAUUCUUGCUUCUGUUUAAGGUGAAACUUCUUUUCAGUAGGAAAAAAUAGCCAAUAAAUACUUUUUAAUGAAGAAAAAAUUAUCGACUUUUUCCUACGGAAGAGAAGAGCAUUUCAUCUUAAAGUGAAGCAAGAGCAUAUUUAAAUACUUUUUUCUUUUUGGUCUUUUUUGUCUUUUCUAGGGCCACACCCACGGCAUAUGGAGGUUCCCAGGCUAGGGGUCUAAUCAGAGCUGUAGCCACCGGCCUACACCAGAGCCACAGCAACUCGGGAUCCGUACCGCAUCUGCAACCUACACCACAGCUCAUGGCAACGCCGGAUCCUUAACCUGCUGAGCAAGGCCAGGGAUGGAACUCAAAACCUCAUGAUUCCUAGUCGGAUUCGUUAACCACUGAGCCACAAUGGGAACUCCUAAAUACUUUUUAAUAAAAGCUACAUGGAUGAAAAGAGAAGGCGGCUUCAGCAAAUUUGGGAUAGUGAGUGGGUUUACUGGCUAUGAAAGGUGAUUUGUUCACGCGUGGGAUGGGGAGAGGCAGGUAAAGGUUGAAAAUUAGGUUGGAAAUAGAUUGUGAAGGACAUUGACUCUCAAGCCGAGGAAUCUAGACCCUUUAAUUAAUGUGAGCAGUGGGGAAAUAUUAAUAUUAUACUAGGGUGGAAGUUGAAAGUGACUUUGGAAUUAAAUAAAAGUAUCUUCAAAGGAAGACCCAUCUAACUGCUUGUUUUCUGCUUUUAUUGAAACGCUAAUGUCAGUAAGUGGAUGGAAAUGCUGCAGUGUGGGGGCUUGGCUGGUUCCAGACAGUUUACAUGAGACAGACUCCCCCACUUUAGUCACCUGGUGGGUCUAGUGGCUUUGUUUUUUUUUAUAACUUCCUGCACACUUAAAUAUCGUACAGCUCCUGUGAAUGUGU